rnacentral:lncRNA from 1 species
CACCAGAAGCUGCACAAACCUUAGAAUUUGCUAAAUCUUUAUCCUUUUCUGCAGCUUCUCUGAUUAUUGGCAUGUGAUCCAACAGGUCAUUCUCAGAAGGUUCAACCUCAUAGGAGCUGCAAAAUAGAUAGCCAAUCAUGCACAAUUGAUGUCGUAGAAACAGAAAUCAUCAAAGAAACAUAUACCAGAAGACUUUCAACAUCUGCUCCCUUAUGUAUUUCCUAGAUGCCUCAGGAUUCUGUUUCACGCAAUAAAGCCAAUGAACCGUGAUCAAAAUCGUCCUGACGAUGUUUUUAAAACUCUUCUUUGGACUUUGUAGCAUUAUCCAGUUGUUUUGUUUGGAGAGCACCCAAAUUUCAGGCUGUGCAUAGGAGAGUUCGAACUUCCAUGCUAUAACCUGCUCAUUGAAAUUCCAGGGCCCAUCACCAAUAUUUCCGUGUAAGAACACUUGCAUUUCCGAACUACCAACAAUAUCGCACCCAUCCCAUUGAAGAGGCAAAACAGAAAAUGAAAUUGACUCCUCAUUUUGAUCAAGAAACUCAUAAUCUGAGACAUAGAGAGUUAAAGUAUCAUCAUCCUCUUCCGAGUAUCCCAUGAGUUAUCUGCACCAUAAUUGCAUUAAAAGAAGUCAUAAAAAAUAUCACAGGACGCUACUUCUAUGUUGGAAACUACAAAAAACAUCAAAUAAAUCUAACUUAUUUCUAUUUCACAAAAACAAUACAACCAAAUAUCCUAUUGCUGAAGAACAAAAAUAGAAACCUAUACAAUUAACUGGAGAGCAACUCUGUGGCUGCUAAGUAACAAACAGCACAUGUCAAGUUCCACAUUGUUCAGCGACCAAACAAAACUAUUUCACAAGAUAUUCAUUUAAAUAAUAAUCCUUGCUGGAAACAAUUCGUUAAACUUGUUAUUAUACAACUGAAUGUAGAUAGCCACUGCAAUUUUUCAACAUUAAUUCUUUUUUAAAAAAAUUAAACCAAGCGAACAGGAAAAUAAAAAGAGAUUUAGAGACAAAACAUACCAGAUUUAAACGCUGGGGAACGAGUAGAGUAAAUAGACGAAUUGCUUUUGUUUUUUUUUUUUUUUUUUUUUUUUUGAAAUAAAAGAAGUACACAAAAUUAAUGAGGGUAGAUAGGGUAAGUCGAGGGUUUUAAAAGUAACGAAGAUGAUUUGAACUAGUUAACUCAUGAGUGGUGCAACCAGAAAUUUAUUUUAAAACUAAAUGAAUGUUAUGCAUCGACAUAGCCGAUGGGCAGGAUGGUACGUACGGCACGGAUACGGUACGUGUUUGUAUAAUACGGCACACGAUUACGUUUUAGCGGAGCAGCCAGCACAGUAUGGCACGCACGUGGGUUAAGUUAAGCUUAUAAUUUUAGGCACGUGAGUCUUAAAAGUACAGUACAGUUAAAAAUAUGUUAAGAAUGACAUGAUGAAAAAGCCUGUAAUAAGUACGUUUCAUUUUUUAAUUAAAGUAAAUUUAAAAUUUUAUAAUUUUAUAAAUAACUUAUAAUUAAAUUUUAAAUUCAUUUAAUUCUUAGUUUCAAAAAAAUGCUAUAACUAAUUUAUAUUUAUAAUUUAUUAAAUAAAUAUUUGAUAUCAUGAUUUUAUAAAUAUGCAUUAAUAUCAUUGUGAACUAUGAUUUAUGACUUUAUGUAAGUCCAAGUUAACAAUUAAGUUAACCCUUAAGAAAAAUUUAUUAUUAUUGUUGUUAUCAAGUACUAAAAAAAUUCUAAUAAUAUAAAAUCAAAUUUAAUAAUUAAUAUUACGUUCACUUACUAUUAUUGUUUAUUAUUGUUGAAUAUGAAUUUAAGUUUUAAAUUUUACAUUCUAUUAAAUUUGAAUAAAAGUAUAAACUUAAAAAAAUUACAUAAACUUGAAAAAAAUACACCAACAACUUGGUAUGCGUUCUUAAAAAAUAAAAAAAAAAUUAAACACGGCACGAAACACAUAGUGGACAAAGCAUGGCACAGGCAUGAGUAGGCAUGGGCCUUACUUUGAUGCCGGCCCGACCCAUUGGCCAUAUCUAGUUAUGGAUUUUUUUGUUUUAGUAAAUUUAGGGAUAGUAAAAUUAUUCGUAAAUCCGCCUAAACCCAUCCACAAAAGUCUGAUUGCUGUGGUUAAUUUUGUAGAUUACGAACUGUUUUGGAAUAAAUUUAAACUUAUGAAUUAUCAACCGACUUAUAUUUUUUAAUUAUUUAUACUUUUAAUUUUAAUCAUAAAAUUAAAUUAAAAAAUUUAAUCAAAAAAUUACUUGUGACUUAAUUUUCCUAAUUCCUCUUUUUUUUUUCUUUCAGACAUAUUUUUAAGCCAUGGGAUUUAAUGAAUUCAUAUUUUAAUAUUGUUAAACAACAAGGUUUAUAGUGUAUCAAAAAUUAACCGCAUGGCUUAACAGUGUGUGCAUAUUAAAAAAAAUGAGGGCUAUCGCACCUGAAAAUGAGGGCUAUAGGCUAUAUAUAUAUAUAUAAACUUAAUUUGAUUAAUUUUGUUUGUCUUGCUUUAAUGACUUUAACUACUAAUUAUUUUCUAAAGUUGAGUUUUUAUUUGUUUAAUUGAUUGUUAAUGAUUGUUGACACGAUUUAAAAGUGUUGAUUACUCUUAAGUGUAAAAGUGUCUUAUUAUAAUAUAAACCCAUGAGUCUGGAGUCAAAUCACAAGAAAUCUAAAAUUUAGUAGUCAAUUAUUAAUUAAAAUUAAUUGUAGAAAAAGAAAUUAUUCAUUUAAAAUAAAAGUGCUAAGGUUAUGGGAUCCACUCUUGGCAUUCGAAUUGCAGUCAUAUUAUUCUCUCAUAAUUAUAUUUUAACAAUUUUAAUUAUUAUAUGAUUUAAUUAUUAAUUAAUCACUUAUGGAUAAAUAUGGAGAUAAAGUACAUAAUGUGUCAAAGCUAUGUUGGUGUAUCAUCAUUAUAUCUAAAUAUCAUAUGGAUUCAAAGUGGAUCUAAAUCUACAAAUUAAAAUGAAAUGAAAAUAAUUAGUAAAAAAUAUAACUUGUAAAUAUAUAAUUGAGUAAUAAACUAUAAACUUACUUAAGAAAAUAAUUACUUCCAUAAUUUAAGUCAUUAAGCUUCACAUUUCACCUUAACUUAAAAAAUUAGCUACUUAUAUUGACAAACAAAACACAUUUUUUUAACAAAAUUCUGAAAUAUAUUACAAAAAAAGAGAAAUAGUUAUUUUCUAAGCUUUUUCCUUCCAUUCCUCUCUCAAUUCUCUUAUUCUCCUCUUCUCUGCCUUUGAACUCUUCCCUUUUAUAGGCACACCAGCAACUUCAUCUUAUUUUAUCAUUAUCUAUUUAUUAUUGUUUGUUUAUUUACAUAAAAAAAAAAAAGAAGCGAUAGUCAAAAGUAGAGAGUACCACUUGACCAUCACUUUAUUAUUUUUUAACAAUACAUUCUAAAUGGCUCUACUUUUUUAUUUAACAAUACAAACCAUCUUUUUGUCUCUCACUUUCGGUUUUGAUUUUCUCUUUAUUUCUAAAAUAUAUCUAUAAUAUAAAAUUAAGAUAAAAUUAGUUUACUACAAGUUAAUUUAACAUAAAAUUUUAUUAGAGAAGCAUUAAGAUAAUUUAUAAGUUAUGAGCACAUUAAUAAACAUUGUAAGUGAAAAAAUAAUAAUUCUAACCUUAUUAAAUAUACAUUUUCUAAUACUAAUCAGGAGUUGUUUAAAAUUUACUUGUUAAUAUGGUUAACAAUACUUGUAUAUUAAUAAAAAAAAAUGGAGCAAAGCAUUAAUCUUAGUGAUUGUGAUUUGACAACAACAGAAAGAUUUUGUGAUAGAUUGAUAUAUUUUAUGUACUCGUUGUACUAUUGAAAUUUUAAUUUCUCAUUUACAUUAAAAAAAUAUAGAAUUGAAUAUUUUAUGCAAAAUUUUUACGCUACUAUUAUAAUUUAUAGUUUGAAUAAUAUAAAUUAAAAUUUUGGUUAUUAUUUAAUUUUUUUUAUUUGUAAUUUUAAAUGUCAAAACCUACAAAAAAUCUACUACAGAUUGUGGGGUUUUAGUAAUUGUUAAAACUCGCAGCAUGUGAUUCUUAUUGUCAUCUCUAAAAGAAUUACAUUAAUCUUAAAUGAUACAACCAAGCAAAAGAGAGAUAACUAUUAUCAUGUGUAUGAUAGUCCAAUGAGAUUGAGGUAUUAAGUCUGGCUCUUUGGGAUGUGCGCUUGACCCAUAUUGGUUUUUCUCAAUGUAAAAGCCAAAACUCCAGUGGCUCAACAAUCUAAGUCCAAGUCGAUAUUGUUUGCUUUUAUCGGUUUCACUAAGUUGAUAUUGUUUGCCUUUUUUUUUUUUUUGGUUUCACUAUUGGUUUUUUAAUCAAUUAUCCUUCAAUAUUUUUAAAAUUAUUUAAGUACCUUCCAUUUAUUGGUUUAUAUGAAUACACUAAGAAAAUGUGAGUAAAAUCUAAAAUACCCUUAGCAAAGAUAUCAAAUGCACUACUUUUUCUCACUUUCUUAUUACACUCAAAUAAUCCUUUAAAACCUCUCAACCAAAAAAACUACUUAUUCGUAUAUUUAACACCUAUAAGUUUUUAAUAAAAAGAAUGUGCAUUACUCAUUAAGUAACCAAAGAAGGUAUGUUAAUAUUAUUAGAUCUAUAAGUUUUACAUUUUGCCUAGAAAAAAUACAUAUAUGAUAUUUUUCAUAUAACACAAUGUUAUGUUUUUUUAUUUUUCUCCCCAUAUGUUGUCAAAAUGAACACAAUCUAUUGUGUUUAAUUACUUUUUUUUAGCAAGAUGCAGAUGCUAAAUAAAUGUUAAAGGUGAAAAUAUUAUGAAUUAUACAUAAAGUUAUGUAUUAAUUUUGAAAUAGUGUAAUAUAUGGAAUGUGGUACCAUGAUGAUUACAUGACUUAAAUGACUAGUCUUGUAGGUUGCGCAUGUCAUGUAGUCAUGUAGGUCAUUUAAAUUAUGUAAGUCAUGUUAGUUGUGUAGUUAUUUAUAUAUAAAUUUGAUAUUAUUGUUUUUGUAUCGACAUUUGUGGUUUUGGUACAUAUGACUAUUCUCUUCAAUGGUUAAUGGAUUAAAAAAGAAAAUAAGUAUAGGUUCAAAGGUUCUAAGGCUAGAGGACAAUAAUACCAUGAUCGACAAGGUAUAUCAAUUUUGCAAUGAAUUCAAGCUUAAGAUAUUUAAUCAUAUGCCACCUAUUGCAAUUAAAACCAAUGAAGAUGUGGAUUUCAAGACUUUGUUUUUCAUUAUAAAGUCGUAUAUUACAAGAAGUCAUGUAUUACACAACUGAAAGUCGUGUAUCUCAUUCUUCAUGGCCGAAAAAUAGUAUAUAUGUAUCAAGAAAUGAAAGAUAUAUCAAAUGAUAAUUGAUAAAUAAUCAAACCAUUGAGUUUUUACUGUUUCCAUUAAAAAAAUUGUUAAAUACUUUGUAUUUCAUUGUACAAUAACACCCCAGCCCAAACUUCGAGGGCAAAUCUGACCACAACUCACAUAUGAAUUUAAAUAACUUUUUACGACCAAUAACAAUUCAAUCCUUAAGUAUAUUUAAGAAUUUGGUCAAACCAUCUACCAUCCUCAAUUGAAGUCCUUCUUCUCACUCAUUGCAAAUUAAUCCCGACUUCUGAAAAAUAAAUCACAAUAAACUAUAAUGAAUACAAAAUUCAGAAAGUAAACUAGUUUUUCUUAUACCAAAAUACAUACAUACUUAUACAUAAUGCAAAUUGAUGAUAGCUAUGAUCUUUUCAAAAUACAGUGAAACAAAUUCAUCAAAACCUUUUCUUUUUUUUUUGUGCUUUCAAACUUUCAUAUUUUCUUUCAAUAAAAUACAUAUCCUGCAAUGUGACACUUUACGUUGUGCGUGACACUUUUCACCAUGCAUGACACUUCGCGGCACGUCGAGCCUCGGAGGUGGCCACCACAUAGUCUCAUGAAGUGGCCCCCACACAACUUUAAGAGGUGGCCCCCAAUGCAAAAUCUGAUAAAGCAAAAAUUCUAUUUGUUAAAAUCUAUUUUCUCAUUCAUAGAAAACUUAUUGUAUUUUCGUGCUUAUGCCAAUGAAAUUUCACACAUACAUUUGCCCAUGUCCAUAAAUACACAACACAUAACAACACAUCAUAUCAACACAUCAUAAAAACACAUGGACAGAACAUAUAAUUCCAUAUUUGUAUAUAUACCAAAAUAGGUUUUUCAAACAUGUCAAACAUAUACAUAUUGUUUAUUAUGAUUCAUUUAGAAAUCUAGUUUACUUACUUCUUGACUCCUCAUGUAACAAAUGUGUAUUGAUAUCAUCGACCUAAAAAUCAUAAUAACAUUCUCAUAAGGAAAAUGAUGUUUGUCCCGGGUCAAACCCCGAAAAUAACUUAAACGGCGUCGUUUUGAUUAUCUUUUUUUUCUUUUGGAAUUCUUCAAAAUGACGACGUUUCUGAUGAUAUUUUGAGAAGAAUAAAAUCUAUCUUCCUCUUCGUUUUCGUUUCUUCGUUUCACUUGUGAAAGCAACAGAGCAACAGAGAUCCCAACUUGGUCUUGUUCCGUUUGACUGUAAAUCUCUUCAUUUCUUCGUUUCUUCGUUUCUUCAAAAAAUUCGUUACUUUCCUUCCUCUCCCGAGGUCCAGGCAUUCGGGAUCCACGACGACCGACUCACAGCCACGGUCAUCGUCAACGUUGGUAACGAUGGUAGUCGAAGAUUGUUCGGGAAAUUGAAAUCACGAAGCGGCAAAGUUCACAGCCUGAGGUAAUGCUUCGUUUUUUCCUCUUUAGGUUAUGGCAAAAUGGUUGAUCUAGGUUAGGCUGCCCUAUUGAAUUUAAUUUCAUUGCUCAGCAAGUGCUAAAUUUUGUUCCUCUUUGAUUUAAUUUCAUUGCUCUGCAAGUGCUAAAUUUUGUUCCUCUUUAAUUUAAUUUAAUUUUUGAAGAUCACACUUUUAGAAUCUUCCUCAUUUGGAGCUUUGUUGAGUUCUAGUUAGUUAACCGAGUGAUGAGAUUGUGUGCAUUUUGGUAUAUAGAUUGUGUGCAUUUUGGCUUGGGUUCUUUGAUAGCCUUUCUGGCAUGUUGCUGGUUGCUGGCUGGUUGCUUGUAGGAUUUAUUGGUUACUUUGUUGAACUUUUUGAAUUUGGGUCAGCUACGGGAGACAUAUGUAGCCUUUCUGGCAUAUUGGUUAUCGCAUUAGCUGUUGGGUGGUUGCUGGAUAGUUGCUUGUAGAAUUUAGUUGUAAUUUCUUUUCAGGCAGUAAUCAUGCUGUUCAUAUGUUCCACGGUUCCAGUUUUCAGUUUUCAUGUUCCAGUUGUCAUGCAGUUCAUAUUCCAGUUUUCUUUUCUUUUAAGUCUAACUAACUGUAAUUGUAAUUAAAAUUUGAUUUGGGUAAUUUCUUUGGCAUUAUUAACUGUAAUUGUUUCCCUUUUUGGGCAGUUUAUUCCCAAGGGACUAUUAACCACAAACAAUGUCAUCCGAGCUAAGUGAGAAUCGAAGCUCAUUGCAAAUGUGUAAUAAAUGCGGUAAUCAUAUAGAGUUGUUAACGUCACACACAAUAAAAAAUCCAAAUCGGAAAUUUUGGAUUUGUAGAGGAUGUAAGAACUUUCAAUGGGCAGAAGAUCGUAAACCUAUCGAAGAGAAAACAGAUUUGUUAGUGGAUGAAGUUAGGCUUAGAGAUAGAGUGUUUGUCCGUUAAAUUUUAAUUAUUGCAUAAAGAACUUGAGCAUAUGCGAGAACGUGAAGUGCAUAAGCGAUUGUUGGACGACGAACCUCGAAAGAGAGAGGCACCACGAUAUGAUUUUAUUAAAAUACUGAUGAUUGUUGUAUUAUGUUUUCUCUUAAAGUAUUAUUUUAAAGUUGUUUCAAGUUAAAGAUUUGUAGACAUAUGUAAUAGCAUUUUCAUGUUAAAUAUAAGUUUCCGAGUAGUUUGACUCUCUGGAUUUAAUUCACAGUAUUAUAAAAUUAUAAUUUGGCCCGAAUCAUUCUAAUAUUUUCCAAAUUAAUCCAAUUCUAGAAUUUUGACUUUUACUUAUUAAUUCACAGUAUUAUGAAAUUAUAAUUUGGCCCCAAAAAUUAUUCUUAAAAUUAUACUAAAGCCCAAAUUAUUCUAAUAUUUUCGAAACUAAUCCAAUUCUAAACUUUUGAAAAUAAACUUAUUAAUUCACAGUAUUAUGAAAUUAUAAUUUGGCCCCAAAAAUUAUUCUCAAAAUUAUACUAUGGCCCAAAUCAUUCUAAUAUUUUCCAAAUUAAUCCAUUUCUAGAAUUUUGAAAAUAGACUUAUGAACUCCAAAAUUUAAAAAAUGUCGAAAUACACAUACACCAAAUUACAUUAGUUCAUUAGUUGAAUAAUACAUAAAACAUAAGCAUAAGCUAACUUCAAUUACAAGCUUGGUUCAUUAGUUGAAAACUCCCCUUGAUUGACCUCCUCAAAAUUUUGUUGCGGUGCAUGUUGCAAGUGUACAUGAUGAGCUGGACCGUAAUUCAUCCAAUACUGAUAGUAAGGGGGGAAAAAUGCAUGUUGUGGGGGUGCUUGUUGUGGUUGUUGUUGUACCAAAAAAAAAAAAGUUAAACACAAAUUAUCAAACAUAUGACAAUGAAAGGAAAUAGCAAAUAAAAAAAUAUUACCAUAGCCAUAUUGCUCUCUUGUGUUGGGAUUGUAGUAGCCACCUGAGAAGACAAAUCAUGUAUCUCCGCGUCCUAGGAGUGCAGUCAACACACAUUUAAAGUAUAUAUUAAAUUAAUUUAAAAUGAAUGUAUUAAAGUAUUAAAUUAAUCUAAAGUAUAUACAAUUACCUCUAUAGUUGUGUUUAUCGAAACGUUGUUCGAUUUCUGUUUUGACCGCUUAAAUUGCUUUUGCUUUCUUUGACUAGGUGGACGACCUUUACGCCGACUUACCACUGGAUCUUGUAUAUUACUACUGGAUCCACCAUCAAUGGUUGUAUCGUCGCCGUCACAUCGAACAUUUAGAGAAACAUCCUUCAUAGCUUUCUCAAUCCAACCCAUAAUGUUUUUAUGGCUUUCUUCAUUUUUAGAAGCUACCUCAGCAACAUCAUAAAAAGCCAUGCACUCCUCUCUAUGUCGCUGAUGUUCAAUGCUCGAACUCCGUGCAUCAUAACUGACUUUGACUUUACUAGAAAAUCUCUGCACAUCUUUCCUUCAUCUUCAUAGGAUAUACUUUUCAAGCAGUAAUUGCACACAGUUACGUGAUAACACUGCGAUAGCGUGUUUGCAAAGAAUGCCCUUGUAUUCAAACAUUGAGCACACACAACGAAUUUCACCUUCAUCUUUUUCAAAAAUGACUCUAAAAAUCUUUUCUCUACUCUUUUCAUCAUUUUCAAUAACUUCAUAUUCUGACCCCCCACAACUGAAAACCUCAUAAUAUAUCUUAUUCACCAGCUCUUGCUGAAAUUCCUGAAACUUAGAAAUAGUGUACACUUCUUCAACUUGCUUUUCCAUGGCAAAACUGGUACGGCAUGGAUGCCUAGUGUACCUUCCCAACUUCUCAGGCACCUUUUUUCAAUAUAUGCCACAAACACCAUCGAUGCCUAGUGUCUAGAAAAACAAUCUGAAUUGCCUUUUUCAUCGUUUUAUCUUGAUCUGUAAUGAUUCCAAGGGGAGGACACCCACCCAGACAUACAUGAUAGCCAUGUGUCAAAUAACCACGUAAAUAUUUUCGUGUCCUCAUGUGAAAUCAACCUACAUCCUAACAAAAUUGAUUGACCAUGAUGAUUAACUCCUACAAAAGGAGCAAAUAGCAUGUCAUACUUGUUUGUUAGGUAUGUGGUAUCAAAUGUGCCAACAUCCCCAAAGUCCUUAUAGGCUGCCCUGUUCCUUAGAUCUGCCCAAAAUACAUUUUUUAACUGACCUUCCUUAUCUAAGUCAAUACUGAAGUAAAACCCAUCAUUUUCUGUUUGCAUUUUCUGAAAAUACCUCUGAAUUGCAAUAGCAUCUCCUUCUCCGAGUCUUAAUCGCCUCACAUUGUUAACAUGAUUUCUAGCAUCUCUUUCUAAAAAUGACACACUUUUAAAGCCACCAGCCUCGACAACAAUCGACUUAAAACUUUGAGCCAUUUUAAUUCCAGCUUUUUCAUUUAUUUCAAGCUGCUUUUUAACAAAAAGACUAAUGGAACGGUUGCAUCGAUAAUACCUACUCUUGCUCGGACUCACGGCAUAGUUGUGUUCAAGGAUCAAAUUUCCAAUUACCCAUUUUCCACUAACAUAUCCAAACAUCCUCCAAUUUUAGCAUUGCAUCCAAUUUUUUAGUUUGGUUGAAGCCGCAAAACAUUAGUGGCUUUGGCUUUUGACUUGCCGUUUCUCCCACAAGUAAAUGUCACAUAUCUCAAACUCCCAUCAUCCACUUUCCUACAAGAUCUCCGCAUCACUGGAAACCCCUCUUAUAGGCCAUAAGUUUUAUAAUAUUCAAACAUUUCAUCAGGACUAUCAAAAAACAUCCCAACCGUAGGCUCAACAACAUUUUCCACCACCAAUUCCUCAUUGUUUUCUUCCAAUCAGCCCCCUGUAAAUCUUGCAAUUCCCCAACUUCAUCAACCUCCUCCACUUGUUCGAAAUUAUCCAUUAACUACUGCAAAUUAAAAUAAUUCAAUAUCUUAUUAGUUAUUUAUCGCAAAUUCAUUAAAUUUAAAAACAAAAUUUAAAAAGCAAAAUGAAACAACUCAGAUGGUAAUUACAUCUUCUCACAUUGCUUUUUCUGUAGCCCCUGUAUUAAUUGCAGAAGAAGAAACACAAUAAUAUGAUCAACUAGUCUUGAAAUAAAUUGAGCCAUGUAUGUAGAAACUCAAAUCGAUUGAUACUGAUCAUAAUUCCUUUCUUCAGAACAAUAAUAUUAAUUCUCUUACCUUUAACAAAACAAUUCGAUUAUACCCAAUUUAAUUACAUACAUAAUUAUAAAAAAGCAGAGCCCAUGUCAUCACUCUACCUCUCUUCGUUCACAAUUUUUUAAAUUGAUUUUGAAUCCUACGAAGCUACAACCAGUUUAAUAAACAACAUCAUUUCUACAUUAAAAAUAGAUUAACAUCACCAUCAAUUUAGCUUUAAACAACUUUGCUUUUUUUUCUUAGUGAUGCUAACAGCUAAUUUAUGGAAAUUGUUACAAUGUUACUGAAGAAAUAAAUUCAAGAAUAUGAGAACUGAAGAAAUAAAUUCAAUGUUACAAUGUUACAAUGUUGUAAAAACACAGGGAAAAAUUUAAAAUAAAAUUUAAAAACAAAAUGCUACAAAGAAGACAGUACCAAAAAAAAAAAAAAUUCAAGCUUUCAGGCACAAUGUUAAUCUUGCUAUGCCAAAACUUUGCAGCUGCUGUUGGUCUUGAGUAGCCGAAACUCAGCUUAGUAGCCGAAACUAAUCUUGCUCGCAGCCGAAACUCAGCUGCUGUUGGUCUUGUUCUUCACUAAAUGCAAGGGCUGUGGAUCUCGUUCAGCUUAAGACGAAGAGAAUGGAGCUUUCAUUAGUAGAUGCCAAAACUAAUCAUGCCGAAACUAAUCUUGCUCGCAGCCGAAACUCAGCCGAAAUUAGUAGAUCCCGUUUUGCUGUCAACUCAAGGGUUGUGGAUCUCGGUCGAGGAUGGAAGAAACGAAAAAGAAAUGAAGAAAGGAUGGAAGAAACGAAAGAAAUGAAGACAGGCUGGAAGAAACGAAAGAAAUGAAGAAAGGCUGGAAGAAACGAAAAAGAAAUGAAGAAACGAAAAAGAAAAAAUAAAGAAAACGACGCAAAUAACAAACCACGAAGCAAAAAAAAAUUAAAAACAAAACGACGACGUUUUGUAUUUUUCGGGGUUUGACCCGGGCAAACAUCAACACUCUUCUCAUAAUAUAUAAUCAAGUCUCAAUCAUAAACUCUAAUGUCCUCAAAUAUCUCAUUUUAAAUAACUCCUGAACUUAACCUUAAACGCCCUCAGUAUUUAGUCCUCAAAACAGAAUAGUCCAUAUUCUCCGAUUUUUAAUAAAUUAUUGUUUUAUUAGAAAAUUCUCAAAUUUUACAAAGCAUAUUGUCACUGGAUGAGUGUUUUGCGCAACAAACCCGUACGACUUUUAGACAACUCUUGUCGAAAAUUGUUCAGUAAACCUUUAAGCUUCUCGACUAAUUAAGCCUGAAGGUUUUCGAAAUAGUUAGAGAAAAGAGAGUAAUUGAGCUGAAAGAGGAAAAUUGUAUUACUCGCAAAGCGUUUACAAGAGAACUUACAAUAGUGUUUGAGUUGCUUGCUCAAAGCUUGAUACUCAAAUACUAAAUGUCAUACCCUAUUUGUAGGGAUGUUUGCCAAGCUCUAGAGUUCUAGAAAAUUAUACCAACUUGUCUAAAUAUCUAGAUAUUUACAUGUGCUAGAGAUGUGUAGAAAAUUCUAAAUAUGUGAGAAGCUUGAGAUGUGCUAAAGUUUACUAGAAAAUUCUAGAAUCGGGCCAAGCUAGCACUCUUGGCCUAUAUUUGGGUUCCUAGCCUGAAUUCUUGGGCACUUGAGCUAGAAACUUGGGUGGUCCGUAACAAUAUGCUGACAUAUUAGGAAUUCAUUGGUAAAAAUUUCAUAGCUUAAUUCCUUCAAAAGUUAUUGAAAAUAAUUUACGUUUCAGGCAUCAUCAAUUUUAUCAAACAGUUUUCUAUUCCGGACAUGCUUACUAUAAAAAUACAAAACAAUUUAUUGUUUUAACAUAAAAUCAUGAAAAAUCACUGGUCCAAAUUUAUUAUUGUUUCUAAAAUCACAAUAAACAUAUAUAAAAAUCAUUGGUCCAAAUUUCAUAAUUUUUGAAGAAGUCUAGCUAUGGUAAAAUAAUUUCGUAAUUUAUGUUCCUCACUAAAAUAAAAAAUUUUCAAGUUUUCAUACUUGACUUUGAAAAAUUAUAAUUAAUUAAAAUCUCAUCUGAUCAGCUUGAAACAACUUUUAAAACAUUCUAGAAAAUGUCUAGUUUAACAUAUCCAAAGUUCAUAAUCAAAAUCAAUUUGUACAAAUUACUAUGAUUUUCGAAAUAACACACUGUUAGCAUAUUUUUUGCAAAAUCUUAGGGCCUGUUUGGUAUUGUUUCUGAAUUUGUAUUUUCUGAGAACAAAAAUAAGAAUGAAAAUAGUGUUUUGCAGUUGUUGUAUUUUCUGAGAAAAUACUGUUAGCAUAUUUUCUUCAACUUUUACAAUGAGAAGACAUCAAAUCCGAUGAAAGGUAUGAUGGAACAACAAGUAAUUUCAUAAAUCUUGCAAUUGAUUAUCGAAUUAAUGAGAAUUGGAAUCAAAACAUGGGAAUAUUACUUCAUUAAAAAAAAUUAUAAUCCAUAUAGAUUUCAUAUGUAUAUAUAACAUGCUCAAAAACAUGAUUUCCUUCGUUUGAAAAAAAAAAAGUUUAUUAUGUAUGAUUUAUAUUUACUUGCAUAUAUCAAAACAAAAAUAUACAAAAUUUAUGUUAAAAAUCUUAUUUUAAAAAACAGAGGGGUCAUUUGUAAUCUAAAAGUUACUUUAAAUACUCUAUUACUUCAUACACUUAUAUACUCACUUUAAUUAAUUAACUUUAUUCACUUAAAACACCAAAACUAUUAUAUACACUGAAUUUCAAGAGAUUUAACAAAUACUUACAAUAAUAUAAUUCAGGCAAGUUGUAAAUAAAUUAUUUAACAUAAUCCUAGUUAUUAAAUUUUUAUUUAUUUAUUUAUUUUUAAUAUUAGAUUUUACACUCAAAAUAACUUACAAUGGAAUGUAAUUAAAAAAAUUCCAUAAAUACCUCAAAAAAUGGAGAAGAUGACAAAGAAGAAGAGCUCGAGAAAAAAAAAAUAACAAAAAAAGAUGUUUUACAAUACUUUUGUAUAUCACAUAUUUGAAAAAGUAAAAAGCAUUACACAUAUUUGUAGUCAAUUUUUUUAUAUAAAAAAAAUUCAUUUCAUGAUUAUUAAUCUAAAUAUUGAUUAGAUUUAAUAUGUUAGAAAUAAAAGUUUUAUUGUUUUAGGAAUUGAAAAAUGAGAAUUGUCCAUUAAAUAACGAAUGUGUGUUAUUAGUGUUCAGAAAUAUUAUAUUAUCUUAUAAUAAAUUAUUCUCAAUAAUAAUUCACAUAAUAAAAUUUUUAUUAAAAUAAGAAUAUUUAAAAUUAUUUUUAUAUUACAAAUAGCCCUAUUCUUUAGAAAAACAAACGUAAAUACAAAAAUAAACUCACCAUACGGUGAACACAGAACACCUAAAGAUAUAGUUAAAUUAUAAGAUCCUUCAAACAUCGAUCAUUAGAAAAUUAAAAAAAAAAAAUGAAAUUAAAAAAACAAAUGAAGAGAGUACGACCAAUGUCGUCAUUUGCGGGAAAAUCCAUUUCCCCAUAAAUACCCAGCUUACAUAAACCGAAAUCUCCCUCCACCACCUACAAAUUAUCACUCUCUGCCUCUCUCCUCUGUGUUCCUGAUCUUCCUAAUCCACACACAAUUUUCACAAAACCCCGAAACACCAGGAAUUGCAAAUGCCCCUUCUCUUAAACCCUUAUUUACUAAACCCCACCCAAUCAUGAACAAAACUAAACACCCGCUAAACUUCAAAUUAUUACCAAAAUGCCGUCAAACCGUCAAUCAACUAUCGACGCGGAGCUUGACGAGAUCGACCUCGACGCCUCCGACUUCAGCUCAUCCGUACCGCUGAAGAAAGUCCCCAACGGCGACGUAUUCGAGGCGUCACGUGCCGGUGACGUCGACCGGCUUAGGUACCUUCUUGAAUCCGGAGUCAACGUCAACGCGCGUGACCAGUGGGACUCCGUGGCGCUCUACUACGCCUGCCUCGCCGGACACCUUGAUGCCGCCAGGAUGUUACUGGAGAGCGGCGCGAUUUGUUCCGAGCACACUUUCGAUGGCGACAGGUGUCACUACGCCGCGCUUAAUUUGAAGGUGAGGAAGCUUUUGAAGGCGUAUGAAGCUAGGCCGCCGCCGUUAGGACCGUUGCAGGCGGCGUUGAGAGACACCUUCUUAGGCUGUGGAGCUAAUCGGCAGUUUCUUGAGGAGGCUGAGGUCGUUUUGGGGAUUUCAGGUGAUACAUAUUUUUCUUUUUGUUAGCAAGCUUUUUGGUUCGAUCUUCAAUUCUCAUUUGGUAAAUUGGUUUGCUUUGCUCGGUCACCAUAGAAAAAUAUCUCUCUCUUUUUAAAAAAUAAAAAAAUAAUAAAAGAAAGAAAAAGAAGGAAAUUUUUUUAUGUGUUCUGUUUUCACUUGUUUGCUUUUAGUGUUUAAAGUUUAUGCUGAAAUGUUUACCCGCACAUGUUGUGAGCAAAGUCAAAAACAAGUGAUUAAGUAUUUGUAUAAACCCUAAACCCAAAGAAUAGGAAGUGAUAUGCCGACCAAAGUAAUUCAUAAAGAGUAUGUUUGUAACUUAUAUGCUUUUUGCUUAAAAUAUUUGGUAUGCUUGCUUUUACAGUUUAGUUAGCAACUAAUGUUUACUAGCUACCCACUUACUUGAUACUUGUUGCUAGUAGUUCCAUCAUCAGAAAUUGGAUGUGCUCUUGUUCAUUUAAUUGUUUUUUCUUGUUUUGGUAAAAAUCUGACAUCUGGUACUAUGAGUAGGUGUCACAUCCAAUGGGGCAUCGAAUUCCGAUUCAUUCCCCCCUGAUGUGGUAUUUUAUGUGCAAGGUAGACCCAUUGAAGCUCACAGAGUCAUUCUAAGUGCUCGGUCUGUAUUUUUUAGAAGAAAGUUUGAAACUGAUUGGAGAUACCGUAAUGAAAUAAGAUUUUCUGGAGAAAAGUUGUCUUAUCCUGCCCUCUACGGCCUCAUCCACUUCUUUUAUUCUGAUAGACUAGAGAUUGCAGUGGAUGACAUGGAGGAUCUUGUGAAAAUUUGCAAGGUGUGCAAGUGUGAAUCUUUGCAGAGGAUUAUUGAGAAAGAAUUGAUUCAUCAAAAAUAUGCAGAGUAUAAGGCACUGAGAGAUGUAGACAACUCUCAAAAACGGUUCAUCUUACAAGGCUCAGCACUACCUGAAGAGGACCGGCUUCCUGCUGCCUUGUCUCGGAUCCUUCAAAUUUCCUUAGCAAGGUCCAACAUGGAUCACAAUAUUGAUAAUGGCAUUUGUAAAUUAUCAUCUAGUGUUGAGGCAAUGCAUGUCAGUGACCAUGUGGAUGAUCUUGCUGAUGUUUGCGUAAGAGUUGAUAAAAAGAUUUUCCGUUGCCAUCAAGUAGUUUUAGCAUCAAGGUCGGAAUACUUUAAAGCAAGAUUGUCUCGUAUGAAGGACUUUUAUGAAGGGAAAGAAGGGUUACCUGGUGACAUCCUUCCAUGCAUUGAAGAGCAUGAUUUGAGCAAGGAAACAUUUGAGAAGAUGAUCGAGUAUAUGUAAGUGUUUUAUUGGUUACGUUUGCAAAAGCUUGAGCUUAAUGUAAACAUUUGUCUAUGGUCUUGAUUUGACUUCUGGAUUGCAACAUUAUGGAUAUCAGUUAUCCCCAACUAUGCUGCCUCUAUUAGCAUUUCACUCAUACUCUGCAUUGCAUAAUCAACUAAUAUGGCUUCUGGGACACUUUAAAUCUGAUAUUCUUUUAAUUAAACUAUUCUGUUAUGGUACUUAUUCACUUUAUUGAUUGGUUCAGGUACACUGAUGGUUUAAAGGAUAUAGACCCCGAUCAGGUAUGCUGUAAUUCAGUCAACAUGGCUUGUAGCUUUAGGAUCAAAUCUGCCUAACUUUGUUCCUUUUGAUGAGCAGGCAGAGGAAAUGUUUGAUGCUGCUUCUAGAUAUUUACUCUUUCCUCUAAAGCGAGCUGUGGCUGAUGUACUGUUGCAGCACCUGGAAAUGGUCUCACCUGCAGAAUUGUGCCAUUGGCUUAUUUUGUCAGACAUGUAUGCUGCCAUUGUUUGUUCUUCUUUGUCAAUUCUCUUGGUUUUUCUUUUUUCAAUCUUUUAUGGCGUUUUAAAACAAAUUUGUCUGACCUUAGGAAAACUUUUAAUAAACCUGUGGGUUGUGGACCACAUAUUUUUGCGAUUACUGUCUCCCACAUCCCAAAAUCCUUCCUCCAAAUUUAAGCAUAGAUAUGCAAUAGGUUUGUUAACGCUCAAAUAAGACAUUUUAUCUUAGAACUUCGACUGUUGAUUAACACUGAUUAUUAUGUUACUUAUAUUUUAUUUUUGAAAUUGUAGGAUUCUUUUCUUCUAUCAUUACCCAGAGUCCGUAUGGGAAUACCAAAUAUUAGUUGGCUGAUUAGUUUCUCCUAGGGGAACCUAUUUAAAUUAUUUUCCAUGGUAGUCUUGAUUUUGUUCAUAUUAUCUUUCAUAUUCCGCCUUACUAGGCAUAAGGAUAAAGCUGGGGAAGCAGCUUUCGUUUUCCUUCACCUUUCAACGUGCAUUCAUGCAUGUGACCACAUACUUUUGUAUCUCCUUGUAUUUUAGAUCAUUUUUAUCCAAAUUGUUGCAGUAUCCUUGUUCCCUGUAAUUGAUACAUAUGUAAUUAUGGACUCAGUUGUGACUACAGACCUUUUUAACAUGGAAAUUGCUUCUGUAGGUACGGGGUUUUUAAGGUAAGAGAGUACUGUUUGGAGGUGAUAGCCUGUAAUUUUGAGACAUUUGCUGAUUCACGUGAGUUCCGAGCAAUGCUUUUGACGCUGCCUCCACCAUCCGGAGAUUCUUCAUUUCGUACAACUGUUCCAAGUGCUCCUGGAGCUAUAAUCAAUGUUGACCAAGGAAAUCUUCUUGAUGAUUUGAGAGAAAAAUGGCUUGAAGCUGAGGCUGCUGAGCUUGACAAGAGAGACGAGAGUGCAUUGAUGUUUGAUAAACGCCUCGAGAUGCUUAUGCAAGUUGCAAAGGAUGAAAAAUCUGAACCGAUCCCUGUUGAUGGUGAAGACCACCAGACAUGAAUUUCACGAAUCUCUAUUUCCUCUUCUUACCUCCAAAUGAACUAGAAAACACUCAAAAUGUAAGUUAUAGACAUUCUUUUUCCAGAUAUAUAAAUAAGGGACUGUUUUGUAGUAUGCCAAAUUUAUAACCGCACACAGAACUUAAAAUGUGUAAGACUCGGAGUGCUUUAGUUGAGUUUUUGUAACUUGAGUUGCUCGAUGCCAGGUUGAUUUAUUUUGAGGAAAUUUUUUAGUUUAAAUGACAUGAGUUUUCCAGUUCUCAUCAAGAUGUUUUAGUUAUUCAUGCUGGAUCUACUGUGUGUCCUUUUGUUAGAGACAAACGGCAUUACAAUUGUUGGACUAGUUAGCUUGUAUCUGUACAAUUUAAAUGAUGCAAAUAUCAAAUGGCACCUGAAGAGAGCAGAGUUACAAGCUAAAUUAUCUGACUCAGAAAAUAGUUAAAAGUAUUCUCUACAAGUAGGAUAGAGAAACGCCACUUUCAAAAGGACAGGGGCUCUAUGUAUUGCAAAAAAUCUGAUUCCAUGUGAAGGAUGAAGUAUUAAAAACUUUCUCCAUGCCCUUCACCCCAUGUCAUGCUAUUCAGUGUAAUCAAUGUAAAUUUUUUUCCCCUUGAAAGAAUAAACCUAGGCAUGGCAAAUUCUAAUUACAGAAGCAAAAUUUACAGGACCUGUGUUGUUUACAAGCCUAUAAGAAUGAGCACUUUGCAUGGGGAGCAGUGUGAGUAUUUGCCAAAUGAAAUGAGAUCUUCAUUCCCUUUCUGUUGAAAAUGGUAUAAUAUGGGCAAAAAUUAAUAAGGUGAAAUAUGGGUUCAUUCUUUAUCGGGGUCAUUCUUCAACCUCAGCCUGUGAAGAGACGCUAGGAUUAGGAUCUGAAGCGGUUUCAUUGAUAGCCAAAUUGGAAAUGUCACCAGACAGGGUUCUUUCAAUCUCGCCAUCCCCCGAUGCUGCUGAUGAGGCAUCGAUGCCACUGUCGUCGGACUCAUCUGAUUGCUGUUGAAGACUCCAAUACAUAAUACUGGCAGUUAAAAUAAGGAUCAUCUUCUGGUUUACCUGGCAAUACAGUGCACAUAAUUCAGGUUAGAAGUCAAUUCAAGUUUUGCAUAAACUCAUUUGAAUUAUAAGUUGCAUUGAUUAAAUCCAGUUCAGCUAGUCAUCAAGUAAAUCAGCAAAAACUUGCAUUGGGAAAAAGACAUGGUGAGGAUAAAAUCUACAAGCACCUAUAAAACUGAAUUACUAUAUAUUUGGAACUUUCUGACUGGCAGCUAAUCAGUUCAUAAUAUAAAUGAGAUUGUGGUUGUGGUUUUCAUAACGUAGACAUAAAUAAACCUACCUCCAUAAUGUCCUCAGGUAACAGGAAAAUGGAGCACCCAAGCUUUCGCGCAACACUUAUUAUAUAGGUUGCAUUCAACUUCUUGUCCUCCUCUGCAACAUCAAUCAAAUCGAACAUUAGAUUUUUCCUCUGUGAUGUAGGUAUAGAGCGUAUUCAUGCAUCUCUAUUACAGUCUAAUGCUUGCUAGAGUGCAAAAGGUGGGACAGGCCUGGCAGGUUUUCCAUUUCACGCUCAAGGGUAGCACAGCUUCAACCUCGAGGUCUACAGUCAAUAUCAAAACUAACUCUGUACAAAAAUUUUAAGAUAAUGGCAUACCGGUUUCUCCUUUUGUUACAAGACUCCAGUUAACCACCCUCGGCUCCACCGCACUAAGAAGCUCAAGGAAGAAAAUCCCAUUUGACAGGUUCUUAUCCUAAAAUUAGAAUGUCCAUAUCAAAAGGCAAACAACCAAUCAAUCAAUCAUGGAAUAGAGGUAGAAUCCAAUCAUAAAUAAGGUCAUUAGUCACUUGGUUACCUUGAAGCUCUCAAUCUGAGAGGUUCUAUUAGCCUUCUUCACCUUUCUGUUUGCCCAGUUUAGAAUAUCGGUGUCAGUAAUCUCUUUGCCCUGGGAGUGAGUUCUCAGGUUUUUCAGGAGUUGGAGCAUGGUAAACCUCAUCAGUUGCCAUAAAAAUGCUGAGGAAGAAAAAUGAAGAUUCAAACAUUUUUCGGUAUUCAUUUAACACAGUAGUCUCAGCAAAUAAUUUUGGAAGAAGAAGUAAACAGCCAAUUAUUUUUUUCAUGGAGAGCGCCAUUUUCCAAUGGAACGUAUAAGUGGAAGACUUACCUAGUAUUAACUUCUUGUUUCCUUGCACUAUAUCAUUCCCAGCAACAUUCACAAGGGAGAAAUUUAGCUCCUUCCCGAUUUUCACGACUUGGUUACAAUUCUCAACUUUUCUGAAUGGCAUCUUUAUGGGAGGCUUAGUUGCCUGCUUCCAGCUAACUGAUCCGGGUGAAACUUUGUCAAGAACCUCUAAAAGAACCCAUCUGCAUGCAGAAGUUGUAAACUUCAACAAAUUUCAACAGAAUAUUAAACUAUUGAGAAAGUAAAGAGAAUCCUCACCCAUUUCUCACAUCCUCAAAUACAUUAUUGACAUAUGUAGCAGUUCCAAGACUGUUAAUCCACAGUCGGAAGCAUCUCUCUUCCCGAGAAGUUUGAGCAUCAUCUGUCAUCAUCUCAGCAAAGGAAAUCUUGUUGCUAUCCAUUGAUAACCCAUUCCUGCAAGGGUAACACAUGCUUUUAACACAGACUGCAGAAACUAUAAUUAAACAGCAAGCCGCAGUUUGCAUUUUCACACAUGAAAGCAGCUUUUAGUAUUAUACCAUGAGAAAACUACUGCAGCCAAAUAUCAGCUAUCACUAGGAAGCUUGGGAAAAUCAAUGCAAAUGAACAGUGGGAAGCUAACAAGAACCAUAUGAUUGAACAUUUUAACUCUUAAUUACUCGUGCACAAAAUUUGAAAUCGAAACAAAGGUAAAGAACAAAUGAACUGGAAUGCCUUCAAGUAUAAGCUACAUGAAAACAUUAUUGCUCGCAGCUCACCUGUGCUGGAAUAUGUGGGCAACAAAAGCAAGAUUAAGAUUGGGUGAACCCUCAACAAUAUCCUUUGGAGUGAGAUAUCUCUUGCAGUCCAUUUUUUCUGCCUGCUCAAUGACCUUGCUUGCCCUUUCCGUAGGAUCUUUUGUAUCAAAGGUGGCAGGGCUACAAUGUUCUGGUGCAAGGGCAUUAAGCAGGUGAGCAUAAGCCUCCCCAUCCUGCAAAAGUUUAAGAUUAUGUCACAAGCAGAGCAAAAGAAUGUUGCAAUUCAAAAGCAAUAUCCCAUGCAUUUGACUUCUUGCUGAGUAAUAAGGACUCCUAUCUUUCAUCCUUGACGCUACUAUUGCUUAGAAUAUUGAUGCCUCAUAACAAAAUACAAAACUACUUUUAUAGGUUUUCUGUUCAUAUGUUAGGUAUUUAGGGCACGGAACUAAAGGAUGUUUCCGUCUAUGAUGAUAAUUUAAUAAGUGAGAUCAUAAUUUUAUGGUUUUCUUGACAAAAAGAAUACGUGAAUCCUUGGUUCAUCACCAAAUCUAGCCCAGCAAUGAAAUUAAUACCGCAAUUAAGUAUACUUUAUAAGAGUGAAUUUUCGUAAAUAAAUUACUUAUUUACCUUCAAAUCAGAAGAAAAAUUUGUAACUUGCUUUUCAUAACCAGCUUUCUUAAGAUGAAAAUUCAUCCAUUUCAGCAGAACUUUUUCAGGUGGCAAACCCAAAAGCUCCUCAACAUCCUGCCAGGUUUAUAAAGAUCGUUGGCAAAAAAAAAUAUCACAUCUUUGCUGAAUCCAACAGCAUAACUAGAAGCCACCCAUAAGUUCAAAUUAUUGGAAGUAGAAAACCAAGGAAAAUGUCAUUACAUUGUUGUCAUCUACCAAUUCCACUAGUUGAGGAGUUUUCUUCAGAUUGAGAUCGGCUAAUAGUUGAAUCUGAUUUCGGCACCAUAUGAAAAUGCAACACCAUCAAUAAUUGCAGUCACUGAUAACCUGACUUAUACUCUCACAACUCAAAACAAGAUUCUAUCAUAAUUUUUAGUGUUCCAUAGAAUUAAAUGGGCAUAUAUAAAGGAAGAAGUUGAAGUCGAAUACCUUAAUUAUUUGCGAAAUCAAUCCAAGUAAUAGAUGGGGCUACAAAAUAUAAAGAGAUCAAAGUACAAAAUCAAAAUCUUGAGGAAAGUUCAAACCAAAUGGAAAAUAUGAUAACCAGAUCCCUAUAAUAGCUGGAACAAGCUCAACUUACUCUUCCUUCAACUAGGUCCUGUGUGCCAAUAUUAACCACUGUGCAGCCAAUAGCCUUUGCAGAAUUGAGGCAAAGGGUAUGGUUCUCAUUCCUCUCCCAUGGGUUAAGGACUCGUUUUGUGUUAAUAGCUCGCUCAUCAAUGGUCCCAGGGACAGCUACAUUGAUAAGCUUACUGCAUGCAAUAAUAAAAAAUAAUUAAUAAGCAUAAAAAAUAUAUUACCACUCAUAAGUAAAGAAAUAAUCUGGUGGGUUCAGUGCAUCUACCAAAGCAGAACUCCAUCUUUAGCAAGAUCAAAUAAAGCAUUCGUGGAAGGAUCAAUGGGAAGAUACUUCGACAAGAAUGGAUCUUCACCGAGGAAGCUAUUAAUGUGGGCAACAUAGGAAGCCUUUUCAGACUCAUUAAUAGCAUGGUGAACAGUAGUAGUUGCAGCCUUCAGAAAUGAAGAAGAAUUCUUUGAACCUCCUGAUUUUGAUGCUGCUCGGGCUUGCAAAUUCAAAUAUGCCUGCCAAUGAGCAAAAUCCCACAUAUAGCUUACAUCCUUUCAUUUCAUUAUAACCAGAACCGCACCAGCCAACUAUGAGAAACAUCCAAAACGUAAAUAAACCCGUGUAACAUUGUGACACUCAUAUAAAAUUCAAAAAGACUCUCUAACCAAAAUGUAUCUCACUAGAAACAUCUUGAUUUUCCAAUCUUGCAAAGCUAUAACUCAUCAAACAAAAAAGAGAGAAAAAUCUAAGUUAUUACAUAAAUGUAAACCAAACUGCUCCCCAACUUGGUGAUGUUUUACGAGUUGAAUCAACCAGCAUCCACAUUCAUUAAAUUUUAGCACCGAGAAACUAGAAUCCAAACACCAUAUAAUCCAAAAGAAGACGCAAAAUGUUAGUUAAUUCCUCAUUAGAAUGAAUAAAGACUCACCCGAAGGUAAGAUUCAAAAUCAACUUCAUCCUCCAUUUUGGUAUGUGACUCUCCCAUAAUAGCCUUAAUCUCGUCCUCCUUAAACAUUUCGGAGAAAGCCUUUAACUUUGCAAAAAGAGGCGGCAAAUCACCAACUGUGACACGACCCGACUGACUUCUGGUAGAAAUAAACUACAAAAGCAUUUGAAAAAAAAAAAACAUUUUGUCAAUAAACAUUCACAAAAAAUAAACAAUUACAACCCUACAAAAAACGAAAAAAGUCACCUUGGAUUUGAGAGUGCGUAGCUCCACUUGAGUGAACUGGCUCUGAAGCCAUGGAUCAGAUACAAGUACGCCCACAAAACCGGCCAUUUUGGCCUUGUUUUGUCUAAAUUCCUAUCGACCUAUAAGAAAACUGAAUGCUAGUAUCAAAAAGAACAUCAACAUAGAUACAUAAGAAAGACCAAAAAAUAAACUAAUGCAUGCAGAAACCAAAAAAAUGAUCACCAUUUUGUUUCCUUAUCAUCUUUAUAUGGACAAUUCAAUAAAGAAACAAAAGCAAAAACAAAAAUGUGAAAACAAACGAUACCCAUUUGAGCAAAACAAUAACUCGAUCAAGAUUUGAAGGAAACAUAACUAACCUCGGUGAAACAAACGUGCACGCACAAGAGCUAAGAUGAUCAAAUGACGCUCUCAUUCAAUUCCAUUCAUUUUUUUUUUUAAUUUGAGUGAAAGAAAGAGAAAGAGAGAAAUAUUUUUAGGGAGUUGAAUGUUUAAUGGAAAUGAAAAAUUGAGUGAUUGAAUGAAGGAGAGAAAAGCGUGUUGGUCCGAGGACCCGCGCGAAGACGCAGGAAGUGAAAUAGAAAAAAAUGCACGUACAAAGAAAGAAAGCCUCUCUGUUUUCUUGUUUUACAUNNNNNNNNNNNNNNNNNNNNNNNNNNNNNNNNNNNNNNNNNNNNNNNNNNNNNNNNNNNNNNNNNNNNNNNNNNNNNNNNNNNNNNNNNNNNNNNNNNNNNNNNNNNNNNNNNNNNNNNNNNNNNNNNNNNNNNNNNNNNNNNNNNNNNNNNNNNNNNNNNNNNNNNNNNNNNNNNNNNNNNNNNNNNNNNNNNNNNNNNNNNNNNNNNNNNNNNNNNNNNNNNNNNNNNNNNNNNNNNNNNNNNNNNNNNNNNNNNNNNNNNNNNNNNNNNNNNNNNNNNNNNNNNNNNNNNNNNNNNNNNNNNNNNNNNNNNNNNNNNNNNNNNNNNNNNNNNNNNNNNNNNNNNNNNNNNNNNNNNNNNNNNNNNNNNNNNNNNNNNNNNNNNNNNNNNNNNNNNNNNNNNNNNNNNNNNNNNNNNNNNNNNNNNNNNNNNNNNNNNNNNNNNNNNNNNNNNNNNNNNNNNNNNNNNNNNNNNNNNNNNNNNNNNNNNNNNNNNNNNNNNNNNNNNNNNNNNNNNNNNNNNNNNNNNNNNNNNNNNNNNNNNNNNNNNNNNNNNNNNNNNNNNNNNNNNNNNNNNNNNNNNNNNNNNNNNNNNNNNNNNNNNNNNNNNNNNNNNNNNNNNNNNNNNNNNNNNNNNNNNNNNNNNNNNNNNNNNNNNNNNNNNNNNNNNNNNNNNNNNNNNNNNNNNNNNNNNNNNNNNNNNNNNNNNNNNNNNNNNNNNNNNNNNNNNNNNNNNNNNNNNNNNNNNNNNNNNNNNNNNNNNNNNACAUUUUAUUUGUAUUUUUCCAAAAAAAUAAAUCUUUAGGGUUAUAAAAAUUGGAUGAAAUCAAAAAUUUUAACCAAAUACACACGGUCUAUUAAACAUUUAAAUGAUUUAGCAAAUUCGAGCAUGUUGUUAUUAGUUAAGGUGUUUUUUUCAUGAAUUUUCUCAAGUUUAAUGCUCUUUUAUCACAUUAUAAAUCUUCGUAUCCCAAAAUUCAUAACUUAUAUUAUGGGCUUAAGUUUUUAGGUACAGAAAAUUUUAUAACAUUAUAAAUAGAUUAAAGUAAUAAUAAGCUACUCGGACAUAUUUUUAAUGAUAAUAUCAAUUAAAAAAAAAAAGAAAGAAAGAAAAAAGACGGCUGAACUUUACAAUUCCUUUUUUUUUUUUCUUUUAAAGAACAUUUUUUUAUGAAUUUAGACAACUUUAGUGCAUAAAAUAUGAUUUGAUUGAUUAAAAAUUUGAUUAAUGGUUUUGGUAGUAAAGAGAGCCGGCAGGAGUCGGCGGUGGGCGGUGUAUGUCAAUUGUCAAAUUCAUUUAUGUGAUUCAUUAAGAAAAGAGCCAUUUCUUUUAUUGACCUUCAUACUUCUCAUACAAAGUUAUAGUAGACAUGGUUGACAUUUUGCGACGAGUUCUUUAAAUUAGGAAAUAAAUAGGAACUAUUAAUCAUAAUUACACACACGCUCCAUUUAGGCGGUUAAUAGAUUCUUGAAUAGCAUGAAAACAAAGCAAAAAUGGAGGCAAGAGAAGAGAUUACAAAAAACUGGAUUUACAAGAUCAAUUAAAUAUUAAGGCCGUUUACAGGCUCAAUUGUGGGGUACAAAAAUUGAUUUUGGCCCAUGCAGGUCUCGAACCUGCGACCUUCGCGUUAUUAGCACGACGCUCUAACCAACUGAGCUAAUAGGCCGGCUGCCAGUUUCUUGCAAAUUUUCCUACUUAACAAAUGGAUUUAACGAAAGAUUACAAUUACCAGGCGGCCUCAUCUAAUCAUUAAAAAUUCGGAUGGUGAACUAUUGCCAAACUCCUGAAAACAUUUGUUAUGUGGGUGUGGCUAAGUGGCUCAGUGGCUCAGUAGAUGGUCCAUGUUAUGAGUAGUUUUGAUGAUUACUGGAAGGUGACUCCCUAAUGAUGCCCUAAUGCUUCAAACUUUUAAUAGCAUUUCCUUCAUCUCAUAGCAUUUGUUUUCUUUCUGCAUCAUUCAUAGCAUUUCCUUCAUCUCUCCGCAUUCAAAUUUUAAACUUCCCUCAAAUGUUUUAGCUUGUUCACUAACUUGCCACAUGAGUUUUGCUUGCCUCGGUGUUUAAAGCUGUUUCGUAUGAUUUGCACGUCCUUUUCCUGCCAAGUUUCUUGGGAAAUUGCACUUAAUUUUGUUUGUUAAAUAGAUGAAUGGAUUAUGGAACACUCUUUUUGAGUCAUUGCCAAUUGCCAAGUGCUUUUCCCACUUUCAUAUGUUGGAUUGUCCCUUUUAAAGGGAUCAUUUAUCUUGAGUCUUUUGAAGCAUAAUCAAUAUUAUCAUUAAAAGCUUGUAAAAGCUCCACUAAUCAAAACCCGCCAGGGCAGGAAAGAUUAAACACCAAAAAAAAAAAGGUUGCGUACAUAAGAGUUUGUUCCAAGUAUAAAUCAAAAGAGCUCAUACAGAUGACAAUUAAUUUGAAUAAUGAAGAAAUAGUAACACAAUAACUCACAUUCUGAUACAUAGUUUCAAUCACAUUAUGUAAUAAAAAAAUUGUUUAAAAAUCAAAGCAAAUGAACCACAUCCAGAUAUAUCCUUGUGACAUAAGUUAGAGACUCCAUAGAAAUCCUCUUUUCUCUUACAAGAACAAGACCAUCAAACCUGAGACCGCCAAAACCAGCUGACUGCAAAUACCCCAGUUGAUGUUCCUGUGAGAAGAAUUUGUUCCUGGUGAAGAUUUUGGAGAAGCAGAGCCACCGUCACUUACUUCAGAUGGAGCGUCAGCAGGCGGUGCGACAUCAGGAGCCGGUGCCGGUGCAGGCAUUGGGGGAAUGUCGGUACCAAAGAUUGCUUCUGGGAGAAGGACUUUAUCAACUUGGUACAAGGCAACAGGGUCAGUUGAAUGCACGCUGCUGCUAACUUUAGUUCUAGACCAUCCUGAAUCGAUAUGGACAGCCCCCGAAACAUCAGUGAAGUUCAAUUUGUAAUCUCCACCAGCAUAUGUGCGAACAGGGCUCAUUUGGCUAAGGUUCUUGAAAUCAGCAAAUGAGUAGUAAUGUGGCAAGGCAUGGAAUAGACAAAGCUGCUUAAGCUGAUCCUGUGUGAGAUUGGCUAAAGAAGGUUUCUUGAGAGACUUGAAGGCAUCAUCUUUUGGCACAAAGAUGGUAAUGCCUUCGUCAGUAUUGUUGGCUUGGUUUUGGAAGGUCUCAAGCACUUUAGUGGACUCAAGGUAAUUGAGGAACGUGUGGAAUGGGCCAGCUACAGAGAGUAAAUCAGUGAGGUUCACAUGUUCAGGCGCCGGUGCUGGGGCCGGAGUUGGACUGAAUGUGGGAGGGCUAGCAGCUUUCUGAGCAUUAGCUGAAGAGAACAAAAGCAAUAGUGCACUAAUCAUCAAAGCCAUGGAAACUUCCAUUUUUUCCAUGAAGUUUUAUGUUGCUUUCUAAGUUGACCAAACUCUCCAAAUUCCUGCAAAAACCAGAAUCAAUCAACUGCUAGAUCUUAGCCUAUCAGCACAAGAGCCUGUGAUCAAAUCUUAUUGAACCACAAUGUAAGUGUGUGUCAAAUUUUAACACCUAAAAUCUAAAAUCUAAAAGCCCCAAUGUCUAGAAAGACAAUAAAAAUCUUACUGUUUUACAAAAUCCACACACCGUAACCCACAAACAAGUUUCUGAAAAACCCAGCUCACCAAACGUCUACAAAGAUAUAACAGAAAGUUAGAUCUUGAACAACUCAUCCCACUGAAACAGACGCUGCAAGAAAGUGAAACUGACAUGUGGAGACCACGCAAGCAUUUGAAGCACAUGCAAAAGCAGAUAUACGAUUCCAAACAGAACAAAUCACCAAAAGAUCAAAACUUUACUCCAAAACUCAGAUCAAAAUCAAAUUUCGAGCCACAAAUUUUAUCAUGUCUUAUCAAACCCAAGGGAAAAAUCACACAAUGUACAUCAAGAAUGGGGCACAAGAACAGAUCUAGAAUCCCAGAUCAACCAAGCAAAACAAACCCAGAAAAGCUAAACAAUUCUGAGCUGCAUGAAGUGCAAAAUCAUAAAUUGGAACCCAAAGUGAAGCAAAACAAUUACAAUGAGAGCAGACACUGACCUGACUAAGUGGAAUUCAGAGACAGAGGCAGGGAGAGAGAGAGAGUGAGAAAUGGUGAUGUUAGUGCAGCUGCAAAAAAAAUGAAAUGUCUUGACACUAUAUAAAGAUUUGAUUUUUUACAUUUACUAGUAAAAUAAUAAUACUACAUAGUCCUGAACUCCUGAUUGGGGAUGGCACCAGCUGGUGGUGGGGGAGCUGUGAGAUGAAGGUUAAAAGGUAAGUAAGAGACAGUGAAAAGAGUAGGUGGUUUACAAUUACUGUACAAAAUUACACAGUCCUAACAUAAAAUUUAGUGGUAGCGUCUUAAAUCUGUCACAUGGAAGAUGACAAAGAAAAGUUUCCAAUCUUGGGAAUUUACUUGCUUAGGGCAAACACAUAAAACAUUUUAAGGGUUUCUUUAGUGGAAUUGCUUUGAAGAAAAGUGGUCCAUGUGGGGUGGCCUUUCUUAAUCACUCGUCAACAAAUUAGUUUUUUAAAAUCUCUGAGACACCAACCCAUGCACAGUGGCAAUCCAUAACAUCAUUGUCGAAUUUCUACUCAAUUUAUCAUGAUAAAUUUGGCCAUACCAUGAUAAGUGCUAACAUGCCCGCGUGAUACAUUUACGGCUUGCUAAAACUACCUAAUCAUGGAAAUGUCAUUCUUUAAGAUAAGAAUAAUCCCACUUCAAUUUAUCAUAAUAAAUUUUGUCAUACCGAUAGGGUGUACGUUGCGCUCGUGCUAAUGUGUGCCCAUGGAAUUUUACAGCUUACUAAAUCGAACUGAUCUUAGAAAUUUUUUAUUUUAUAAAGUAAGGACAUUUAUUUAUUAAAAAAAGUGAAAAAAAAUAAAGUUAUGAUUACAAAAUUUGAGAUACAAAAUUUAUCUUCCCACUAAUAUGACAAGUAACGCUCGUAUUAUUAGUUAUGUCUCUACCUCCUUUCCUUUUUUAUAAAAAAGUAAAUAAAUAAAUUCACUAAAGCCAAAAUAUAAAUGUUAAAAACAAAAUAUUAUGAAAAUAAUUAAAUUCACUCGGAACAUAAUAUUACAAAGGGUAAAGACAAAAUAUCAUGAAAAUAUCGUAGGCCGAUAAUUUGAGUAGAAGUGGGCCAAAAUGGGGCCGACCAUGAUGUUUGGGCCAACAAGCAUUGCCUGUGACCUGUGUGUACCCCACAAAAAGCCGAUGCCACCUGUUGUUCUCCAAUGCUGCGGCGCCCAACGUGUGCACCCGCCACCUCAAAAUCGCGUACUUUAGCAAUCACGGUAAACGACAUCGUUUCCUUGUGUGUUACUCCCGCCGACAGCCCGACACUAACUUUACCAAAUCCCUUGGUUAUGUUUAUGGUUAUGGAUAAUUCAUGAAUUAUAUUAUUAUAAGAUGCGAUUUAAGAAUUUUGAUAAUUAAAACAAUUCUUUUAAAUUUAUUUUUCUCUUUUUGGCUUGAUAAUAAUCAAAUCACCUUUAUAUCUUGAUUUAAUAGAUUUUAUACACUAAAUCAAGUUUCAUGUUGAUUUGGUGGGAAUCCUAACUCUUCAUUCAUUUAAUUCAGUGCACAUAGAAUGUGAAAGUGACAAACAAAAAUCAUUUUAGUAUAAAUUCAUCGAUUCUAAUCCCUUUGCUACGCUCGCAAACAAUUUCUUUUUAUGGAAAUUAAGCUUAAACAAUUAAGUAAGAGUCUAAUAAUACACUUAAAGAUAACUUUUGACAAAUUAAAGUUGGUUGUUGUGAGUGGUUAGGCACUCUUACGUCAGGGGUUCAAGUCCCGUUUUCGUAUGGAGUCAUCACUUUGGCCAGCACUUUACUCCUUACGGACCGAUUCGGUGCGAGCGAGAAUUAGUCUGAGUUGUAGUACGGACUUAAAAGUGCCUCACACAGUUAACAAUAUAUAUAUAUAUAUAUAUAUAUAUAUAUAUAUAUAUAUAUAUAUACCUUUUGACAUGUUUCUCAGGUAAAACUUAGUUUAAGGAGACAAAAUAAAAUUAAAAUCAAUAAAUUAUUGAAUCAAACAUAACAUGUGGACCAAAUUUAAUAUAAUUUGUGGAGAUUGAACACAAAACUUAACUUUAAUUCUAUAUUAAAAAUAUUCGUAUCAUUUAUUUUAAAACUUAAACUAUUACGUAAGAAUCUAAUGAUAGUGUUAAAAGACAAACUUACUUCAAACUAUCCAGCCACCUAGUUCGAAAGAUGAAAAAAAAAAUUUAUAUAUAUAUAUAUCAUGCAUUAGGAAUACAUUAUUCUCAAUUUGGUAAUAUUUUAAUAAUAUUUGGAGGCUUGGAGCCACUGAAGCUUUCCCCUUCACAUAAAUGCAGUGACCAAAAGCCAAAUUUCAUAAAAGCUGCACGUGAAGUUCAAUGGAGUAUGCGGUCAAAUUAAGUUAAGAUUACAUUUAUUAAUUACAUAACUUCACUAACAUUGAUUUGGGGAGGUGAGAUUUGUCAUUUAGGCAUGGGAAGGUGCAAUGGCAAUAUCAUCAAAUACGAUGGAUUUGGUGGUUAAGAUUGGGCAUUUUGUCAUAUGAACCUUGUUUAAAUUAAUCAACAAGAAGUCAAUUUAUUUUGCUAGGGAUGAUGUUUUCUUAAUAAAACAGAUUAAUCACUUGUGUCGGGUGGGUUUGAGUGUCUCUUCACGUUAGUCAACGUCCACUUCGUUGUUAUUAAAGGGCUAAUCAUGGUUAAAACAGUAAAUUAAAGAUUUAAUCUAACAUGGGUCAAGCCAAGUUUUACAUAUUGUUUAUUUUCUGUUCUAAAUAUUUUGAAAUUUCUCCAUGAAACCAGUAACAAGGGCAAUGCAUCGUUAGUCAUUUUAUACUAAUAAAUAUAUAUUAUAUAUAAGUGUCACGUUAUAGGUUACAGAAAACAUUUUAGCUGCGUUAUUAAUGUAACGCCACAAUGAUAUAAAGAUAGAGGCUGAAGAGAAGGUUCUAUGAUGUGUUUCUCUGCACAUAUCAAUAUAAAGCAACAGGAAAUAAAAUGGGUUGAGUAAGAUGAGAGAUUACUGUUACUAUCAAGCGAGGCUUGCAGCUGCCUUUGUCCUUCCAAGCUGAUAAUUUCAUUACCUAUUUAAUUUGUUGGGUCUUAUUAUAGUCUCUUGACUCCUCAAACUUGUAUGAGCUCAUGUUGAAGACUGGGUUCUUUUCAUCUCUUGGGCUAUCCAAGGUUUUAAUGGCAGCAAUUUUGUGGUCAUAGUCCAAGAAUUUUAAAAGUUUGUUGCAUUUGGGAUUAUUUGACGACCAAAACAAAAACAAAAGAAAAAAAGAAAAAAAAAACACCCGCAAGCAACAGGCCUUAGCAACAUGGUAUUUAUUAAUAUCGACUUGUGCUCAACAUAGCUCUGAAGAAACUUAAGCUCAUAAUUGAAAAUGUUUGCAGAAAAGAAAUUUAAUAGAAAACUUUUAGCAUAGCUGCUAAAACAAUCGUAAAAAGCAGGUCCAAUUACUUGAAACAAAAGAAAACUCAUGAACUGAACUGCUUUCUAACUUCUUAAUAAAUCCUAGAUUAAAAGCAAUAGUUUACAGUCUUCUCAAUGAAUGAAGAAAUGAAAGUUAGAAACAAGCAUCCAACAGUGAGGCGAGGCAUGCAUCCCUGGAAUCAAAGGCAUAUUUCCGUUGUCAAGGGAAUUUGCCGCGAGUAGGGUGAAGUGAUUAAUUUAGCUGCAAAAGCAUUAAUUUAAUAGGCUUGAAUUGAAAUAUCUUGAGCUAAUAAUAAUGGUAUAAGAAAAAAUAACUAGUGGAUGAUGAAGCCAUGCGAAGCUCUCCCUUCAAACAGCAGCCCAUUCUUUUCUGAUGUCGAAGGAGUAGUUGAUCUCCAAGUAGCACUUGUUAUCAUCAUCAAGAAACUGCAAAAAAUUGGGACCCAAAAAAAAAAAAUUUACAGUAAGUAUUGCACACUAGUUUGCAUUGGGCAUGCUAUGUCAGCAGUUUGCUUGGAAACUAAACAAGUUAGUUGUACAUUACAGAACAAAGACAAAAAUCAGAAAACUAGCAAACUUGAGUCUUCAUCAGGCAAUAAAACAUACAAGGCAAACAGCAAAAUGGUCCCCAAGUCAUGGCCAAACAACAAUAUGUGCAACGAAUGAAUUGGUGGGUCGCACUUCACAUGUAACAUACAAGAUAACAGAUAAGAGAUGAUAGAACUCGUCUCUCGUGUGAUGCCAGGAGUCACAAUCUCAUAAAUUGCGCCUCAUUCACGUCUUCUGGGAAAGCUAAUUCAAUUUGAUUAAGCAGCUUUAAAGCAAGAAUAGAUCACGGUAGAUACUUUCAAAAGUGAAAUUUCCGAAUCAUGUAUCAAUUAAGCAACUUCAGUUAAUCUACAUAUGAAUCCUAAAGUGAAACUUUCUAGGAAACUGCAUGUGACUAUUCUAACAACUUGUUACAUAAAGAAAAAUAUCAAAUGAUCCAUAAAGAAUAGUACUUGCAGAAAACAAGAACUUGACCGUUUGAUCUAACCUUUGUUCUUGCAGAAUACGAUCCUCUAGCAAACAUGCCCGAAGGGGUUGUCUCCUCGGGCAUCUCAUGUAUGUAAGGCUCUGGCUGAGGACUAAAGGUUCCAAGCAUCUGUUUUGCGCUGUCCACUGAAAUAAAACUUGUAGUGAGCAAAACAUACGAGUGAAUGACAUUCAAAAUGUUAGCAUGAGUUCGAGCAUAGGUGGUUUGCUUACCCUUGAUACCGGCUUUCCAAACGGUGUUGGUGUACUUAAGGCCAGAUACGAUGUUAUUGCUGACUUCGAAUGUGAAUUUCAAGCUGUAUUUACUACCUUCUUUCAAUGUAAACCAAUUUCCUGCGGGUUUUCCAUCCUCUGGAACAGCAAGGACAAUGUCAUUUCUCCCGGGCGCAACAAUUGAGAGGCUAAGGAUCCUCACUUCAGGUUCAAGAGUUUCUGCAUCAAGUCAAGGGAAAACCAAAAGCACAUUAAAUGGGCUGAUAGCAGUGAGGUUGGUUAAGCUUUAGUUUCUUAGAGAGAAAGCAAUAGAACAAGUUAAGUUCAAUGGAUAUAAUUCAUACAAAUGAGAUUGAUUACAGAACAGAAAAAACGCAAGAGAUGCACAUAUCCCCCCAUCUAAUGACAUGUCUUCUAAUGUGACCUAAAAUGAAGCAAUGAACUUAUUGAACAAAGGUUAGGACAGUCCUCAAUUGCUCAAAGGAUUAAGAUUUAUUGUCAGCAAACAAACCAAAGAGAUUAAUAUUAUCUAGUAUAAAGAAAGCCUUGAACUUUCACAUCUUUUAGCACCCCUGGAUAGAUACCAUUAGUGUUAUAGACAGUCAACAUGAAAAUGAAAAUAUAUAUAUAUAUAUAUCAAAAGAAAUUAAAAAACAAAAACAAAUUCUAACAAAAAAGGAUACAAAACAUAACCAAAAGAACAUUAAUACCUCCAAUGUUGUCAAAAUCAACGCUUCCGAGGAGCUGCUCCUUCCACUUCCUCAAGCUCUCAUCAUCCUAUAUACGAACUCAUGAAGCUCAUCAACAAAAUUUGUACGUAGCAAAAAGAUGUAAAAUGUUAAGUAAAACAAACCUUAUCCUUUUCAAUCUGCUCUUUGAGAGUGUACUGAGGACCCAACUGGAUGUCCUGCUCCCUGUCGUCGUCAUCCUCUUCGUCAGUUUCACUCACAGUCACAUAUCUGCUGGUCCUCUGUUCUUCUUGAAGAUUUGCUGGUUCUGCUGCUCCCACGGCAACAUUACUAUUCUCACCUUCCUCCCUCUUCUCAUCAACCAUGUUAUUGGAACUUGACACAGCUCCAACAGCCAAAGACAUCAACAAUUCAUCAACUCUUUGAACGCCCCCCCAAAACUCACCAAAAUUUCUUUAUUGAAAAAAGAAAAUGAAAACACAAAAAACAAAACAGACCCAGCAAACGAAAAAUGUUACCAAUUUAGUGCCCCUUUAUCCUUUAUGUUAAUGAAUGAACAAAAAAGAAAGAAAAAAAAAAUUUUUAUAUCUAUGAAACGAAUUGAGCACUGAGUGUCAAAAAAAGGCAAGAAUUGUUCUUUUGUCCAAACAAAAGAGAGCAAAAAGACAGGAAAAAGAAAAAGAAAAAGAAAAUUAAAAAAAAAAAGGAACAGGGUGUUUUGAAUUUGAAUUUUCGUUGGUAGCUUUUUUGUGGUGGGUCGUUGAAGUGUUGAAUAGAUCAUAGAGUAGGGGCCGGGUUGGUUAGUUAAUUGGUUAGUCAGUUAUGCCGGGAGAAUCUCUAAUAGGCUAAAAGUGAGAAAAUGAGUGUGUGGUGACGCGCAAUAUAAGAGAAGCGAAUGGAAUGGAGAAGAAAACGCGAAGGUCACCAAUGGAAUUUUUGGCGACAACCAAGCUGAGAUUGUGGGGGGAGGAAUAGGAAUUUAGGAAGGUAGUUAGUUCUGUCUGUUUGUGCACGUUGCAGUGUUGUUGACGCACUCCUCGUAAAAGUUUUCGCUUAAUGUUUACACGUAGACGGCGAUCGGUUUGACAUUUGCAAAUUGGUCCUUUCAUUAGUUUAUGGAUUUUGCUAUGUUACAUUGAAUGUACCAUACACAACUAAUAAGAACCACAUAAUUAUGUGGGUUCCAUAAUUUGUGUGGUUCUUGUGAGUUGUGUAUGGUACAUUUAAUGUAACAUAGGGGCUUUAGUUUAUUUGCUUCUUCUUCUUCUUCUUAUUAUUUUUGAAGUUUAUUGUGCAUUAUUGUGCAUUGGAUUAUAUGCUAAUUUUGGACCGUGGAGGGUUCUUUUAUGCGGAAGAUUUGGUGGGUUGAAAAUUAGGAAUUAUAUUGUGUGUAUUAAUAAUAUCGCUUAGUUUAGUUGGUAAAGAUAUGGAGUUCAACCUCCUUCACAUAAAUAAAAAUUGAAUUUAAUUAUCACUUUGUGUUAUGUUUUUUUUUAAAAAAAAUUAAGGAAUUUUGUCGCCUUUGUGUUCACACUAUCACCACAUUGUGUGGUUUAUAUAUGUGCACUCUCACUCUCUUUUUUAUCUUUCAUUUGUUUUGCCAUCAUAAAAUUCAACCGAACUUGUUAAAUUUCAAUGUCAUUCAAUAAAACGAUCAAUCUUCUACUCUAAUCUAGAAUUAGGAUCGCUAAAUGAGAAACUGUAGAAGCAUUAAAAAGGAGAGUUAGAGUUUAUUGGGAUAAUAAUAGAGCGAAUGACAUGACUCAAAGGUGUUAUUACUCCCAAAUAUAAGAGUGUCCAAUUAUAAUAUAACUCGGUGAGUUUGGAGUUGAACCAGAGGGAAUUUAAAAUCUAAUAAUCAAUUUGUUAAACAAAGAAAAUUAAAUAUGGGAAAAAAAUUAUUAGAAAUCAAUUUAAAAAUACACUAGGGUUACGAGAUCUACUCUCAAUAUUGAAAUUAUAGUUUAAAUAUUCUCUCAUUUUUAUAUUUUUCCUCACUUUUAUCAGUUAAUUAUUAUGUCAUUUAAUUUUAACUAACUAUGUGUUUCGAUAAAUAUAAAAUCAAGUCUAUAUUAAUGUAUCGACAUUAUGUCAAAAUACCAUACAAAUCCAAGGAAAUUUAUAAAUUAACAUGACAUAAAAAUAAUCUGAAAAUAAUAAAAUAAACUUAAAACUCACUUGAGAGAGAAAUUAAUUUAAUACUUUGAAAUCUUAAGCUUUACCCUUCACCUUAGCUUAGUAAAAUUAGUCACUCAUAUUAAAAGAAAACAAAACAUUUUUUUUAUUUGACAAACUUUUGAAAUAUAUUACAAGGGAAUUGAUUACACCAGAAAACAAGAAAAUAAAUAAAUAAAUAAAUAAAAUUUUCAGCUUCAAUCCGUACCCUCCUUUCUGGCUCCUCUCUACCUCCUCGCUUGCAUCUCCUUACCUUUGGAUGCAUCGUUCCUUCUUUUAAUUAUUAUUUUAUAUUAUAUUAAAUAUAUAUAUUAAUUGAAAGGUGUAACCACUUGACCAUCACGAGCAACCAAAACAUGGUUGCUCCUUUUUAUUCUUUUUUUUUUGAAAUAUAUUUUUAUUAAUUAUAUCUCUUCAAUAAUGCAUUUCAAAAGGUUUUAGUAAUUCUUCUUUGUUCUUGGAUCUAGUUCCAACUCCUCUUUAUUCUUAAAAUAUAUCUACAAUAUAAAAUUAAAAUAAAAUUAACAUAUCACAAAAUUACAAUUUAAUUUAACAUAAAAAUAUAUUUGGAGAGUCUUGAGAUAAUUUAAGAAUAAUGAGCACAUUAAUUAACACUUUAAAUAAAAAACUAAUAAAAUUAUUCUUAUUACAUGUACACUUUUAAGUGUUAAUUAGUGAAAAUAUUAGCAUUCCACUAAACAGCUCGUAAAAACCCUUCUCUCAACUAAUCCUAAUAAAGUAUUAAAACAUAUUAUACAAUGUUUAUAACACCCCACUUAUUUAUUUUUUAAAAAAUUUCAUAUCUAUCGUUAAAACCCCAAUAAUUACGUCAUGGUGAUGAAAUUGUUACUGCUCAUUCUCUUUGUAGCCAAGCCAUUUUUAUAAAAAAAAAUUUCAACCCAGCAUAAACUAAAAGUCUUAGUAUUUAGAUUUUAUUAGUAUGUGGAUGUUCGGUUUUCCCUAUUUCUGUGAUUUGAAAAUCUCUCAAGUCCUAUUAAUUUCUUCCGUGCGUUAAAUAGACUUUGAUUUAAGUUUUGAAGACAUACAAAGGUGUAAAGAGUUUUCAUUAUAAGUGAGUUUUUAUUAAUUAUAAUUGUCUUUUUAAGUAAUAUCAGUUACAGGUAAAAGUAUAAAUAUAUAGCAAGAGUUUGAAUAGAUUUUAUCAGUACUUCAACUCAUAAUAAUAAAUGAGAAAUAAUAUAACUAUAAAUUCUUAUACAAACUUUUUUUUGUACAAAUUGAUAUGACAUGGUUAAGUUGGUUCACAUGAUUUAUUUUUAUUAUUUUGUAUUUUAUUCAACUAACGAGUUAAUAUCAAAUCAGUUUGUAUAAAAUAAGUUUGUACAAGAGUUUGUGACUAUAUCAUCACUCAUAAUAAAUUCAAGCAUUAGAAUCCAUGAUAAAAUGGGCUAGAUAUUUGAAAAAUUUACAAAAAUAGCCAAAAAAAUUUAGGGUCUUUUAGAAUUAGUCAAUUUAACUUUUUCUACCUUAUAUAGCCAAUUUCAACAUUUUUGGACAACAAUACCCUUGUCAUUCCAAAACCUAAAAAACUUAACAUUUCUUCUCUCUCAAAUCCACCAGCACAGUCUUAACUUUUCUGGCAAUAAUUGAUGAUAGUUGGAUGGGCGUUUGACGGCAGUUUCAUCUCCGACAUCACCUGUCUGUAUUUCCAACACUUAGACGGCAGUUGGAUGGGCGAUUGACAGCAGCUUCAUCUCCUAAAUCAAGUUUUUUUUUUUGUUUCACUAAGAUUAGACCAUCAUUUGAAUGUAAUUGAGUGUAUACUUUAUGAUAGAUGAGUAUUAUGGUUAAUUUACUAUGAAUUUUGAAAAGAAUUAAACGAGAUUAUGAUUUGAGAAAAAUGGCAUAUGAGAUGUUUGUUGAAGUGCCUAUUAGACUUCAUUAUCUUAUUUGUGAUAGAUUGUGUUGUGGGUUUAUUGUGGCUUGCUAUGAAUUCGUGUUCAACAAAGCAGAGCAAGUGAUUUUAGUGCAAUGAGUGUUGCUUUGAUUUAGUGUGACGGAAGCCUAGAGCACAGGCGACCUGCACCCUUCUCAUGAAAUCACAACAAGUAUGUUAAUGUAAUUUUAAGUGACAAGCACUUGUUUUCAGGGCGAUAACGCCCACCACUCAAAAUCAAAGCAAGCGUAUUGCUAUGAUUUUGAGCAACAUGCACUAUCUCCCAAGCCAUAGGUGCCUAUUGCACAAAAUCACAACAAACAUAUUAAUGUAAUUUUGACUGACAGACACCUGUCUCCCAGGCGACAAGCACUUGUUGCUCAAAAUCAAAGUAAGCAUGUUGCUAUGCUUUGCCAAGCACGGAUUCGCCCACGACAUAAUCUAUCAAAAAUGAGAUAACAAAGUUUAAUAGGCAUCUCAACAAACACCUCAUAUGCCAUUUUUCUCAAACUAUAAUCUCAUUAAAUAUUUUUCAAAAUUCAUAAAAAAUUAACCUAAUACUCAUCUAUCAUGAAAUAUACACUUAAUUACAUUCAAAUACAGUAUAAUCUUAAUGAAACGAAAAAAAAACUUGCUUUUGGAGAUGAAGCUUGCAUCAACCUCCCAUCCAGCUGUCGUCUAAGUGUCGGAAAUACAACCACAUAAUGUCAGAGAAAAAGCUUCUGUCAAACGCCCAUCAACUGUCGUUGAUUGUUGUUGGAAAAGUCACGAUCGUGCUACUGGAUUUAGGAGUGACGAGAAUGUUCUUUUUUUUUUUUUUUUUUUUGUGGAGUGACAAUGGUAUUUGUUGUCCAAAAAUGUUGAAAUUGGCUACAUAGGGUAGAAAAAGUUUAAUUGGCUAAUUCUAAAAGACCCUAAAAUUUUUGGGCUAAUUUUGUAAAUUUCCCUAGAUAUUUUGCUUCAAAACAUACUCUGUUGUCUGUAACAAGCGAGGUAUGAGUAAGAGCAAUAAUAUUCAACACCACAUAUUACCUUAAAAGACCCUACUUUCUUUUAUACCCCAUUAAUUUUCAAAAUUAUCCUCUUAUCUCACCAGACCCUUUUUUUUUUUUUUUUGAUUCAUCAUCUACUUCCAAAUUUUCUUAUGUUCUGUCAUAACUAUCAUUUUUGUUUUUUAAAUAAUUGUAUCAACACACUUAGAUGCAAGUCUAUCAUCCAUUAUUUCAUUUUUUGAAAAAAAAAAUGAUCAUCUAUUUUGUAAGUGUCUAUUAGAGAAUCUUUUAGACACAUAAAUUUCUAAAAUUCAAUAUUUUAGAAUGAAAAAGAAAUAAAAAAUAAAAAAGCUAACAUUGUGUUAUACUACUCAUCAAAUCACUAUAGAAUGAAUGGAAUAUUUUGCUUCAAAAAAUUAAAAAACAUUUGACUGCUAUGACAUGCAAGUAAAAAUAUAGAAGAGAAGAGCUGCUGGGUUAUUGAGUUUGAUUGAAAAAGAAAUAGAGCACAAUUUCUUUCUGUCCUUUAGGAUAAUUUUUAAUAUUAGACGGGGUCACAUGAGAUGAAAUGCGGGGCCGAAUAAUAACACUCCAUGAGUAAAUGAGCACGUAUGCACGACCUCGUUUCUUUAUCGGGCUUGUAAUAAUUUGGGCUAAACCCAGCUUUCCAUAGCCACAAAAUCCCAUGAAGCUCAAAACAAAUAAGGGUGGUUAUGUUACAAGAUGCCUGUUUGCUCAUAAGAGUCGCUUGAAAUUUAAAUCCACACGAGGAGCUCUCCAAGCUACCCAAAUAUCAUCAAUAAUCAUUCAAAUCAUUGAAAAAAUAUGGAAAGUGCCAAGAGAGAUCAGACGAUAAGCCAUUGACGUUACCACGAAUCGUAUAAUCCCUCCACUCUGUCAAAACAGCAAUCAUGAUGCGUCAAGUGAGCCCCCUUCCUCCUUUUUACAUCCAAUUAGCCAAUCAAAUCCAAAACUCAAUUACGUGGUCGGUGAUCUACUUGCCCACGUGACACUGCUUUAAUGGUAAAAAUUAAUUAUGGGUCCUACAAUUGUAGGCCCCUCCACCGCCCGCCCUAUUGUCUUUUGGCCUUUUCGGGAUCUGCCUAAACAUAGAAGCCAGGUUCGUGGCCUUUUUAUUUUACCUCUGCCUCGUGUCCCAAAAAUCAAAGAUGAAUUGAGAAUUUGAAUUUGAGUAGAACGACACGUCGGACGUCAUCCGAUAUCUUAGACGCCGCAAAUACCACAAACCUCGAGGCAUUAUCGAGUGUUUGCUACCGUACGAAGUCUUCAGUUUAGAGUUGUGCUUUACAGCCCUAGGGAUUCAUGAUUGUUCAAAAGCGCAGUAACGUGACGGGUUGCAUAUUUGUUGGCAAUGAAUACUAAUAUAUUUUUCUGUCUAAUUUAUGGUAACUUCAAGCUAAAAAAAUCUGAUUUUUUUUUUUAAGGAAAGAUUCAACGCUAAUAUUGAAGAAUUUUUCAAUAAUAACAACAACAACAACAAUGUCUAUAAAAUUUUGAUAACAAAGUGCGCACACGAAGGUCUAACAUUUCUUGUUUUUACUGCAAAAAAACCAAACAAGCCAAUUUAUUAUUUCAUAUUUGUUGAAUUGGACAUAAUAAAAAUAUUUAAGAUAAAUUAGACAGGUUUAAAUUAUAAUGAUAGUUGGAAUUGUAUGUUGGAAAACAAGUCUUGUGUGUGAAGUCAUGUUUCUCUCUCUCUCUCUCUCUCUCUCUUUCUUGGCCUAAAAAGAUAUAUGCACAAACCUAUUAAUUUAAACUCCGCGUGUGUGUAUGUAUAUAUAAUAAUUAUUAGGUAUGAAUGUUCGUAUUUUUUUUAAUGCGAACACAUUAUUAAAUCAUGUUGUUUAAAAGAAAUUAAUUUUUGAAUAAACUAUAAAAUCAUACGGUUUUAGAGAGUUAAAAAUUAAGAUUGCAUUUGUUUUUUUAUCUGAAAUUUGAAUAGGUCUGAAUUUUACUGAAGUCUGAAUAGGUAUGAAUGAAAAUACCUGAAUGAUAUGUUUGUUUUCUCUUUUUUUACGUCUGAAGAGAAAGAUUUAAAAACUAGUAGUUUGACAUAAAUAUCCUUUUAUUGGUGCAUAUAUUUGUUUUUCACAAUUUAUAAUUUCCAUAUGUUGAUUAGUUUAGUAGUAUUAAAUAAAAAAUACUAUCAUUGUUGAUCUUAAUUUAAUUUUGUAAUAAAAGAUGUAAUUAUAACAUCAAAUGUUAUUAUAAAGUCAACAUUGUUGAUUUUAUUUUUGAUUAAUCACAAUUGACAUAAUUUGAUUUGUUCAAUAUUUCAGUUUAGUUAAUGUUAUCGUGUGAAUAAAAAUUUAAAGUAAUUAAAAAAAUCAAGAAUAAUACAAAAAUAUUAGGCUUAUAGAUAAUAUGGGAAAUAUAUAAUUGUUAAGGGUAUUUUUGAGAUUUGAAAUUAAAAUUUUCCAUUUAGACUUCAGACUUCAGAUAAAAGUAUAUUUUUUCUAUUCAGAUAAAAUUAUCUGAUAAUAAGUGAUAAAUUAAAAAAACAAACAACUUAAAAUAAAUAAAUGUAUAAAAAAAAUUAAAUUCAAACUUCAGACUAAAAAACAAACAACACCUAACUCUCUUAAAUCCUACGAUUUAAAAAUAUAUCUACAUAAAAAAAAUAAUAAAGACGCAUGUUGCCUGCACUAGAAAAUGACUAAUAUAUAUUUACAAUUAUUUAUUUCAUCAAUUUUGUGUACGUGCAUAUACCCUUAAAUAAUUAACAUGCCUAAUGAUUCAUUGCAUUUGCCUACACAGUAACAUCAACGUUCGAAUGUCCCCUACAAAAUGGAUUGGAAAGGUAGAAAGACACUUGAUCAAGAUGAUCUUACAGCUCAGCCGUCGAUGUCGAUGAUGAUGAAACAGAGUGGGUCCUGAGUCAGCAUGGUCAACAUCUGUUCCCUUGGUGUACCCACUGGGUCCACAUUCUUUCAUACCUGAUUCGCUGGAACAGGGGGCGAAGAAGUCAUGGAGCAUGCUUGCCACGUCAGAAUUUUAUUCGUUUCUUCCACGUAAAUUAAUCCUAUUGGUCCCGUGGGGACCCACCGGCUGACGCCGCCCCAUGCUCUUUACGGUUGAGGCCCGUUUGCUGAUUUGGUUGGCUGAUGUGGAUAGCCUAUUUUUCUUUUGGUCCCGCUUCCGAAAUAAGAGUGUAACCAAAAUGUGAUAAAUCAAAUUAUAAAUUGAUGGGUUGAUAAGUUUUGGAAAUUAUUUAAAACGUCUGCUUUUCAAUAUGAAAUUGCCAUGGCUUCAUUACGAUAUUACCUAGUUUAAAUCCACAUUUUCAAUUGUGCAACUGUUAUUUUUAGAGAAUAGUUACCAGUAUAUUAAUCAAUGUAAAUUCUUGAAAAAAGAACAUUCCAAAUUAGUUUAAUAUAUAUAUUGCAUACAGCACUGCUGGUCCGUGGCUUCAUGUGACUGUCAGAAAUAUCAUUCACAGUGAGAUUAAAUUAUUGAGGGUUUGCCACAGUUAAAAGUAAUAGAUAUUCGAUCAAGAACGUGAGGUGAAUGAUUGUCAAGGACGCCUAAACAGCCGACUGUACAGAGCACACACUACAAAGGAAGAUGAUAGCUCAGCGGAAAAUUUGCGACCAUUGUUUGGCAAUUGGCAUUCCCCAAUCAAACUCGAAAGGGUACAAACUAUUAUGUAUUAAAAAUAGCAAAACCCCAUCUCAGAAACUUUCUUCUCGCAUAAUUACCAAACAUGCUCGCUCAUGCCCUUGGAAGUCAGUGUGGUGAGGUGUCAAAUCCCAAGAUUCUUCAAUCAAGGACCCCACUCAGCCACCCCCCUCCUCCUUUUCUCUCAUCAACUUGAGGCUCCUUUUCACUAGUCACUACUAUAUAAAGCAGCCUCAUCACUCACACUCUGAUCAUCUCAAACACUCAAGCGCAUUGUCAAUUUCUUUGCUUUCUUAUAUUUAUAUACUUGUUUUCUUUGUAGUUUUCUAGCUGUUGAAAUUGCAAUAUGGCCACAGUUGAGGUGAAACUCAACUUCUAGUAAUCAAGUUCUUAUGCAUGCAUAUUGGCGUUAUGGUAAUAAUAGGCGAAUUAAUUAAUUUGAUUGUUCGUAUGCAGGUUGUGUCAGCAAAGACUGCUCUUUCCGAGGAGAUCAAAGCUGAGGAGCCAGUCAAGGCUGAAGAAACUAAAACAGCUGAGGAGCCAGUCAAGGCUGAAGAAACUAAAACAGCUGAUGAACCAGUCAAGACUGAAGAAACUAAAACAGAGGAGGUAGUUGCUUCAGCUUCUGCAGCACCUGUGGCACCAGAACCCGUUGCUGAAGAGCCACCAGCAGCAAAGGAAGCAGAAGCUGUUGCUGUAACUGAAGAAGCAGCGGUGGUUACUCCAGAAGCUGAAGCCCCAGCUGAAGUUGAGACAAAGGAGGUGGUAGCCGAAGAUCAGCCAGCAGCAGCGGAGAAGACUACCGCAGAGAAAACUGAAGAAGUGGAAACUACUCCAACGGAGACACCAGAGCCAGCUGCUGAGAAAGAGGCCAAGGAAGAAGAGAAGAAGCCAGAGGCAGAAGUUGAAGCUGCAAAGGAGGAAGUGAAAGAUGAAGAGAAACCUGCAGUUGAGAAGCCAGCUGAAGCUGAGAAGAAAGCUGACACUGAUGAAGCCCCAGCUGAGAAGACUGAGUAAUAAUAUUGUAAGAACUAAUGAUGGCCAAUUUGCACGUCCAAGUUAAUU